rfam:Pygoscelis adeliae contig55441, whole genome shotgun sequence.
CUAAAGGCUUUUAUAAAAGCCUUCUCUUUCAAAGCAAAGAGUUUUAU